rnacentral:rRNA from 1 species
UCCGUAGGUGGAUAAUUAAGUCAGAGGUGAAAUCCUGCAGCUCAACUGUAGAAUUGCCUUUGAUACUGGUUAUCAUGAGUCAUUAUGAAGUGGUUAGAAUGUGUAGUGUAGCGGUGAAAUGCAUAGAUAUUACACAGAAUACCGAUUGCGAAGGCAGAUCACUAAUAAUGUACUGACACUGAUGGACGAAAGCGUGGGGAGCGAACAGGAUUAGAUACCCGCGUAGUCC